rnacentral:rRNA from 1 species
AAUAGCGGAGAAAAGAAACCAACAGGGAUUACCUCAGUAACGGCGAGUGAAGCGGUAACAGCUCAAAUUUGAAAUCUGGCUCUUUCAGGGUCCGAGUUGUAAUUUGUAGAAGAUGCUUUGGGUGUGGCCCGGGUCUAAGUUCCUUGGAACAGGACGUCAUAGAGGGUGAGAAUCCCGUAUGUGACUCGGCGCCUUCGCCCGUGUAAAGCUCUUUCGACGAGUCGAGUUGUUUGGGAAUGCAGCUCAAAAUGGGUGGUAAAUUUCAUCUAAAGCUAAAUAUUGGCCGGAGACCGAUAGCGCACAAGUAGAGUGAUCGAAAGAUGAAAAGCACUUUGGAAAGAGAGUUAAACAGUACGUGAAAUUGUUGAAAGGGAAGCGCUUGCAACCAGACUUAGUUGCUGUCGAUCAUCUCGGGUUCUCCCGGGUGCACUCGGCAGUGUCUAGGCCAGCAUCGGUUUGGGUGGUGGGAUAAAGGCCUUGGGAAUGUAGCUUCUUUCGGGGAGUGUUAUAGCCCUCGGUGCAAUGCCGCCUACCCGGACCGAGGACCGCGCUUCGGCUAGGAUGCUGGCGUAAUGGUUGUAAGCGACCCGUCUUGAAACACGGACCAAGGAGUCUAACAUCUAUGCGAGUAUUUGGGUGUCAAACCCAUAUGCGUAAUGAAAGUGAACGGAGGUGAGAACCCUUAAGGGUGCAUCAUCGACCGAUCCUGAUGUCUUCGGAUGGAUUUGAGUAAGAGCAUAGCUGUUGGGACCCGAAAGAUGGUGAACUAUGCCUAAAUAGGGUGAAGCCAGAGGAAACUCUGGUGGAGGCUCGCAGCGGUUCUGACGUGCAAAUCGAUCGUCAAAUUUGGGUAUAGGGGCGAAAGACUAAUCGAACAUCUAGAGCUGGUCC